rnacentral:rRNA from 1 species
GCAGCCGCCGCGGUAAUACGUAGGGUGCAAGCGUUAAUCGGAAUUACUGGGCGUAAAGCGUGCGCAGGCGGUUAUAUAAGACAGAUGUGAAAUCCCCUGGCUCAACCUGGGAACUGCAUUUGUGACUGUAUAGCUAGAGUACGGCAGAGGGGGAUGGAAUUCCGCGUGUAGCAGUGAAAUGCGUAGAUAUGCGGAGGAACACCGAUGGCGAAGGCAAUCCCCUGGGCCUGUACUGACGCUCAUGCACGAAAGCGUGGGGAGCAAACAGGAUUAGAUACCCCUGUAGUCCCUGUCUCUUAUAC